GGCUUAACCCCAGACCUGCAUUCGAUACGGGCGAGCUUGAGUAUGGUAGGGGAGUCUGGAAUUCCUGGUGUAGCGGUGGAAUGCGCAGAUAUCAGGAGGAACACCAAUGGCGAAGGCAGGACUCUGGGCCAUUACUGACACUGAGGAGCGAAAGCGUGGGGAGCGAACAGGAUUAGAUACCCUGGUAGUCCACGCCGUAAACGGUGGGCACUAGUUGUGGGGACCUUCCACGGUCUCUGCGACGCAGCUAACGCAUUAAGUGCCCCGCCUGGGGAGUACGAUCGCAAGAUUAAAACUCAAAGGAAUUGACGGGGCCCCGCACAAGCAGCGGAGCAUGCGGCUUAAUUCGACGCAACGCGAAGAACCUUACCAAGGCUUGACAUAUACAGGAAUAUGGCAGAGAUGUCAUAGCCGCAAGGUCUGUAUACAGGUGGUGCAUGGUUGUCGUCAGCUCGUGUCGUGAGAUGUUGGGUUAAGUCCCGCAACGAGCGCAACCCUCGUUCUGUGUUGCCAGCAUUUAGUUGGGGACUCACAGGAGACUGCCGGGGUUAACUCGGAGGAAGGUGGGGAUGACGUCAAAUCAUCAUGCCCCUUAUGUCUUGGGCUGCACGCAUGCUACAAUGGCUGGUACAAACGGCUGCAAUACCGCAAGGUGGAGCGAAUCCGAGAAAGC
rnacentral:rRNA from 1 species